rnacentral:misc_RNA from 1 species
AAGUCGUAACAAGGUUUCCGUAGGUGAACCUGCGGAAGGAUCAUUUAAAAUGAGAUUAGGGUCCUUCAUUGGCCCGACCUCCAAUCCCUCUGUUGUUAUAACUACCUUGUUGCUUUGGCGGGACCAUCUCGGUCUCCGAGCGCACUAACCCUCGGGUUAGUGGGCGCCCGCCAGAGCCCAACCUAAACUCUUGUAUUAAACCAGUCGUCUGAGUAUAAAUUUUAAUUAAUUAAAA